rnacentral:lncRNA from 1 species
UGAUACCAUAUGUCACGCCCGACUCUAAUCACUAGAGGAAUUGUCCGCUUUGGAUCAAGCCAAAUCGCCCAUACAAGAUGGCAAGACCUGCACGGUUUUUGUCCCGCAGGUGAAAGGGAAGUUGAUCAAAUCAUUCGCUCCAUAGUCUGAUAGAUAACUGAUUAAUCGGACGAGAAUAAAGAUAGAGUCCCAUUCUACAUGUCAAUAUCGACAACAAGGAAAUUUAU